UCCCAGUGUACGUCUAGCAAGGAGGCUGCGCCCCAGAGAGUCCGGGGAGCGCCGCCGGCUGGUGCCCGGCGCGCCAGGCCAUGCAACGGCGGCAGCGGCGGAGCUCAGAACGGCGGUAGCGCCCCCUGUGAGGCGGCCAGAGAUGCCCCGGCCGCUGUAAACGGUGCCGCCCGCCAGGACACGCUCAGCCCUGGACACGCUCUGCUCUGCGCGCCCGCGACGAGCACCGAGUAGAGAGAGCGGCGAGCGCUGUGAAGGCUACCUAGCCCUGGGAGAGGAGGCCAGCCGGUGCAGCGCAGGGACACUACUCAGUCUGACUCCGGCUGGCACUG
rnacentral:other from 9 species